rnacentral:rRNA from 1 species
AGAUUAAGUUAUUAAGGGCGCACGGUGGAUGCCUUGGCACUAGAAGCCGAUGAAGGACGUUACUAACGACGAUAUGCUUUGGGGAGCUGUAAGUAAGCUUUGAUCCAGAGAUUUCCGAAUGGGGAAACCCAGCAUGAGUUAUGUCAUGUUAUCGAUAUGUGAAUACAUAGCAUAUCAGAAGGCACACCCGGAGAACUGAAACAUCUUAGUACCCGGAGGAAGAGAAAGAAAAUUCGAUUCCCUUAGUAGCGGCGAGCGAAACGGGAAGAGCCCAAACCAACAAGCUUGCUUGUUGGGGUUGUAGGACACUCUAUACGGAGUUACAAAGGACGACAUUAGACGAAUCAUCUGGAAAGAUGAAUCAAAGAAGGUAAUAAUCCUGUAGUCGAAAAUGUUGUCUCUCUUGAGUGGAUCCUGAGUACGACGGAGCACGUGAAAUUCCGUCGGAAUCUGGGAGGACCAUCUCCUAAGGCUAAAUACUCUCUAGUGACCGAUAGUGAACCAGUACCGUGAGGGAAAGGUGAAAAGCACCCCGGAAGGGGAGUGAAAUAGAACCUG